AGUGAGCACAACCCCCACCUACCGCAAGGUGGUGGUGCAGCAGGAGGAAUUCACUGAAUGAUGAUGUCGUAAAAGACUUUUUUUUUUAAAUGCAAUUCAAACGUCUGGCAAAGCAACCUCUCAAGUAUUUUCAGCAUGGCAGCAUCAGUCUGUUGGUCCACUAAUUUGGUCCAGACUGAUUCGUCUCAACAACCAUUGGAUCAGGGUCAUGAAAUCUGUAUAGACAUUUUUGGAACUCAGAGGAUGAAUGGAUUUGGUGAUCCUCCUGAGUAGCGCCACUAUGAGGUGAAAGUUUUCACUUACCCUGUUAAAUAUUGUAACAUCUUAUAGAAACAGCAAACAAUUUAACGGACCAGUAACUUUUAUUAGCGCUAUUAUCAGGUCAAAAAUAUAAAUUUGUCCAAUAUGGUAAACAGAUGGUGAUCAAGCUAAACAUACCAGCAUGUUAGUAUCAUCACUGUGAUCAUGUUAGCAAGCUGAUGCUAGCAUUUAGCUCAAGACACAACUGUGUCUAUGAAAAGCCUUACAGAGCAGCUAGCUGCCCAAUUAUAUUAAUCUGUAUUUUGAAUUGGCAGCAACUGUAUACCAACUCUGCCAACUGGCUACCGAUCCUACUGCUGAUGCAACACGGGCUGACACCCAUCUACUUUGAUCUUAUCACGUAGCUAAAAAGAGCAGGCUGUAGCUUAAAGUAGAUUAAAUGGUUAACAAUCUUACAUGAUACAUAAAGCAAGUUAGGAUUUGCAUGUUUCGAACAACUGAGGCGGCAGCUGCAACUGUUGACUGUCUGAAAGCACAUUUAGUCUUGCUUUCUAUCAGGGCUUGUUUUUCCUUGCAACAUGCACAGUAUUUUCUACUGAAUUACUUUGUGAAUACCAAAUACAAAUGUAACUUACUUCAAUAGCAGCUUGUGAUCAAUGUUAAAUUUUCCUGUCAACAUGAUCAGUUCUAUUAUUUUUUCCUAAUAAUGCAAAAAGCAUGGGACAAAUGAGUUAGUGAAUGUUGCUCAGACCAUACUGUGGGUUAUGAAGGGGUAAGCUUUGCAUAUUAUUUCAGAUAAAGUGUCUCUGUUGUGAUAUAACAGUCUGUUACUCAUUGAGAGGCCAUGUUUUAUAUAACUGGCAUUAAAAUUAGGAAUGGUUCAAAUGUGUCACUGACUGUACAGAAGAUAAUUGGAAUGUUUGUUACACCUUGUUUCAUUAAUACUCCUUAUUAGUGAUCAGUGUAACAGGCUGUAGCAGUAGUUUAUUUUGGUCAUUUUCAAACUUAUACCAAAUAUACUUAAGAAAAAAAGAAAUUGUAAUUAAUUGUAAUUGUAAAUUGCAAAAAUUGUAAAAGCUUCUCAUCACUGAUGAAGCCACAGCUUUGCACAAGUAACCUGACCAGCUGUUCAGAUUUUUGAGAUGUGAAAAUUUAAACAUGCAUCUAAUGGUGAGGGAGAAAACACCCACCUCAUCAUGUGGCUACAGUAUAAAAUACAGAAAAACAUACUGUAGUACACAUACUACAGGACAACAAAACCUUAACUAACACAAAGAAAACAAACCAGCGGCCAGAUUACAAAGCACAACCAGAAUAUUUAGCACUUGAUUCAGCACAGUCUUGAUUUUAAUGCAGUGAUUACAUGGGUGAGUUUAACUUGUUGAAACUGCUCCUGUUUAUGAGGACUGUACAGGUGAGUUUUGAAAGAGUGAUGCUAGCCAAGGUAAGACUGUUAGCAAUAAUUCUGUUAAAAUAGAAACACUUUAAGCAAUAUGAUGAAAAAGUGGGGGUGUUAUUAACAAGAACUAUCCAAAAAAAAAUAAAAAAUUACUUCUGUUCACUUGCACUUUGGUUUCUUGGGACCCAGCUUGAUCUUGACAUGAUUGAUAUACUUUUACACAGUUUCUAUGUUUAUGAAAUUUGAUUGUUGCUCUUAAAUGAGCUACAGUAGGUGUUUUAAUGUUGGACAAAAAGGUUUUUUACUAAAUACAGUCAGGAUGCCAUGACCUUUGUCUUAUUUUGCUUGUUGUUGUUGUUGUCAAUGCCAUAAAAUGGCAAAUCAUGCUAUGUUCACACGAACUGAAACUCUAAAAGACUAUUGGACUGAGCAGUAAAAAAAAAAAAAAAAAAAAAAACCCAUGUACUUUGGAUUGAUCACUGCCACGUCAUUGGAUUGGUGUCUUGUAAACCCAUGGGGGUUGGGCACAUGUUUGUGUGCAAGACAAAAAAAGACUACAAAAGACAAAUCAUCAUCAUCAUCAUCAUCAUCAUCAUCAUCAAAAGCAAUUCAACCCUUCAGAACAUGAAAUUUCAGUUGUGUGUGUAUUGUAUUAAUUAUCUGUGUUGUGUUAGGUUAAGAAAAAGUGGUUCAUUUAUUAUGAUGCAGACAGGUGCUCAUGUGUUGGAAUACAUUUUGACAUAAUGUGUCUUUUAGGGAUGUCUAAUGGGAAGAAUUUAUCUCAUGCUUGCCCUUUUUAAUAAAUUUUUUCACAGAA